GUCCCGGGCUGGGAAGGCCCUGUAGUUCAGCGGAGAUCGUGGCGCCGCAGCUACAGCGCGAACAGCGUUUCCUCUAGCUCGUCCUCCACCAAGAUGUCGCCGAUGGAGCGGCGGCUCCGCGGUCCUACGGCAGCCGGAGGCGAAGGCGCCGCCCCAGCCUGAAGCCUGCACCUCCCCGUGCGCCCGCCCCGCUCCUGCGCCCGCGCUUGGGGCGCCGCUGUGAACCCCCAGCUCGCUCGCCCACUCGCUACUGGGGGCCUCGGGAGCUGGCUUCCGCUAUAGGUGCAACCUGUGCCUGUAAGCAACCAGCACCUAGACCAGGGCCAAAUCGUGUGUCCCGAUUCCUUCCUCUCUGUCCACAACGCCCGGGUUCUCCAGCCUUAGUGAUUUUUUUAUUGUUGUUGAUGAUGAUGUUGUUGUUGAUGUUGCUAUUUUAAUACAUUCCCCUCCUCUGCCCCCUUUUUAAGACAAAUCUCGUGUUACCAAGGCAGGCCUAGAACUCAUUCCGGGACCCAAGCUAGUCUUGAACUCCUGAUCCUUCUCCGUCAACCUCACAAGUGCUGGAUUUAGCAGGUAUAAGCCACCUCACCUGCCCUUGCCUUUUAUUACUUACUACAGGCCAACUUUUGUAAAAAUAAAUAAAUAAAUAAAUAAAAACCCAGGGCCUGCUCAAGGACCUGGUGCAAAUGUUUGCUUGGACUCUAA